UACAGAGGGUGCAAGCGUUGUUCGGAAUUACUGGGCGUAAAGCGCGUGUAGGCGGCUUAUUAAGUCGGACGUGAAAUCCCUUGGCUCAACCAAGGAACUGCGUCCGAUACUGGUUAGCUUGAGUGUCGGAGGGGGUGGCGGAAUUCCCGGUGUAGGGGUGAAAUUCGUAGAUAUCGGGAGGAACACCUGUGGCGAAGGCGGCCGACCUGGAAGACAACUGACGCUGAGACGCGAAAGCGUGGGGAGCAAACAGG
rnacentral:rRNA from 1 species